ensembl:lncRNA
UUCAUGUCCAGACGCUACUCUUGUUUUUGUAUCGGUCCCUGUUCAUUGUAUUAUUAAACAGCAGGAAAUCAGGACAUCUCCCAGACGGUCAACGAACAGGGAUACCUACUUCGUCAACACCACGACCAGCUGGAGCAACUGGGGACGGCUAUGGAAGAGGUUCUUCAGUCUUCAACAUUUCAAACAUACCCAAGAGGAGUUGCCUUCAACUAGCGGAGGAUACUCGACCCAGCACACCAGUCCAUUCAGCAGUCCGCCCAGGUCAGCAAUGCCUGUUUUGUCCCUCCAGGAUAAAUAUGACGGAACCACAUCUAAAUGCCAUGGCUUCCUACUCCAGUGCUCCCUCUAUUUUGCACACCAGAUGGGAGUCCCCACCACCGAGAGGUACAGAGUUGCUACGGUUAUUUCUCUGCUGACUGGGCGGGCGUUGGAGUUGACAACGGAAGUCUGGGAGAGUAGGAGCUGCCUUCGUAUGAGGGAUUCAUGGCUCUGUUCAGAGGCAUCUUUGAUCAUCCACUGGAGGGCAGAGGGGGGGGUGAGCGCCUACUCCAACUACAGCAGGAUGACCAGACCACUGACCAGACCACUGCUGAGUAACAUCACCUCAUACCCGCUCUCCUCUCCGUUUCUGGUUCAAGCCCUUGAUAAUCGGCCACUAGGAUCCGGGACCAUCACACACAUCACCACACCACUCCCCCACACCGUGCAGUCCAUCCAUCAGGAGAACAUUCCCUUCAUCAUUAGUGCACCAGCUCACAUGAUCAUCCUCGGCCUCCCAUGGCUCCAACUCCCACCAUCUCAUGGUCGAGGAUGAAAAUCAGACUGGGCACCCGAAUGCCGGAGGACCUGCUUUCCCAUCCCUUGUGGUUCCACGUCAGUUGAGAGUCCUGUGGUUGCUCCUCAGCCCAACAUACCGGAGGUAUACCUGGACCUGCGGGAGCUAUUUUCCAAAACCCUGUCUCCCUCCUCGUCGCCCCUGGGACUGUGCCAUCGACCUGCUUGCAGGCUCUGAGCCCUGUGCAGAUGCAUCUACCCUCUGUGGCCGAAACCAAUGCCAUGGGGGGAGUACAUGAGGCGCUCCAACAAGGUUUAAUCCGCAGGUCCACCUCGCCUGCGUCUGCAGGCUUCUUCUUCGUGGCGAAGGAUGGAGGAUUAUACCUUGUGUAUUGAUUACAGAGGACUGAAUGAGAUGACCACCAAGUACCGAUACCCUCUCACGUUGGUGCCGGCAGCUAUCGAACAGCUCUGUGGGGCCUGAUUCUUUACCAAAUUGGACCUGCGGUGUACAUACAAUCUCAUCCGCAUCUGGGAUGGAGAUGACUGGAAGACAGGAGAAAUUUUGGAACAUUCCUCUUUACAAAACUGUUUCAGUUCAGAAAUAUUCUUGGGAUGUCUGGUGUGAACUGCUCUCUUGAGGUCAUGUUACAGCAUCUCAAUCGGGUUGAGGUCAGGACUCCUCCCUGGUCCCUCCAAAGAUGAUCACCGUUGGAAUGACGCGCCGUUGC